rnacentral:rRNA from 1 species
CCUACGGGAGGCAGCAGUGAGGAAUAUUGGUCAAUGGCCGCAGGGCUGAACCAGCCAAGUCGCGUGAGGGAUGACGGUCCUAUGGAUUGUAAACCUCUUUUGGCAGGGAGCAAAGGGCGCCACGUGUGGCGCUUUGCGAGUACCUGAAGAAAAAGCAUCGGCUAACUCCGUGCCAGCAGCCGCGGUAAUACGGAGGAUGCGAGCGUUAUCCGUAUUUAUUGGGUUUAAAGGGUGCGCAGGCGGAAUGUCAAGUCAGCGGUAAAAUUUCGGGGCUCAACCCCGUCGUGCCGUUGAAACUGGCGUUCUUGAGUGAGCGAGAAGUAUGCGGAAUGCGUGGUGUAGCGGUGAAAUGCAUAGAUAUCACGCAGAACUCCGAUUGCGAAGGCAGCAUACCGGCGCUCAACUGACGCUCAUGCACGAAAGCGUGGGUAUCGAACAGGAUUAGAUACCCUGGUAGUC